CAUGGGGGAGAUCCUUAAGGAGUGUGAAGGUGAUCUUUUCUGUGUCAAAAAAAUUGUGAACAAAGAAAUAAUCUUCUAGUAGAUUUAACCAUUUUUCUAGGGCAUAUGCAUCUAUCUAUCCUUCAAAUAUGGGAAUUUAAAAAUUAACUUGUACCUUAAAAUGAAAGGUGCCUCCAAAGUGGCCGCUCGAUGAAGAGACACCUUUUUCUAUCUGUAGGCAUUGAAGGAUGUGGGAAAAAUUCUCCAUUAUUUUGUCCCUCUAUCGCAUGAGAGCUUGCUCAAGCAAAAUAUUAAUAGAAUCAUCUGCUCUAUCAUUUUUCUUUUCUUCCACCAUGGAGGGUUUCUUGGGCAUGCGAGAGUGAUUUUCCUCAAGAGAGACAAGCUAGAGACUCAACUUUCUAGGGGUUAAUGUGUUAGUAAUCACCUAACCUAGACCUUGAAUAUACACCCCCUAAACUUCUAAAUCAUCGACCCAUAACCCAUAACCCUUCUAAAUAUGCAAUGUGAUUUAUUUCCAUUGCUCUACAUGUCAAAGUGAAUAAAUUCAACCAAGCGCAGGUAAAUGACGAGAGUAAUUAUGAAUCUCUUAAGGUAUCAAUAUUCCUCGUCACAUAAUUAGUGACGUGCAUGAAUGGAUUAAUGAGAUUCCCACUGUCCCUAGAUACUAUAUGGAGAAACCACAUCCAAGGGAAUGGGCUUGGUAUAAUUAGCAGGGAAAGAAGACCCUGUUGAGCUUGACUCUAGUCCUAACCCAUUCAUAGUUUGGGAAAAUUAGACCAUAACAUUUGUCUUUGGGAGU
rnacentral:ncRNA from 1 species